rnacentral:rRNA from 1 species
GAGUUUGAUCCUGGGCUCAGGAUGAACGCCGGCGGUGUGCCUAAUACAUGCAAGUCGUACGCACUGGCCCAACUGAUUGAUGGUGCUUGCACCGGAUUGACGAUGGAUCACCAGUGAGUGGCGGACGGGUGAGUAACACGUAGGUAACCUGCCCCGGAGCGGGGGAUAACAUUUGGAAACAGAUGCUAAUACCGCAUAACAACAAAAGCCACAUGGCUUUUGUUUGAAAGAUGGCUUUGGCUAUCACUCUGGGAUGGACCUGCGGUGCAUUAGCUAGUUGGUAAGGUAACGGCUUACCAAGGCGAUGAUGCAUAGCCGAGUUGAGAGACUGAUCGGCCACAAUGGAACUGAGACACGGUCCAUACUCCUACGGGAGGCAGCAGUAGGGAAUCUUCCACAAUGGGCGCAAGCCUGAUGGAGCAACACCGCGUGAGUGAAGAAGGGUUUCGGCUCGUAAAACUCUGUUGUUGGAGAAGAACGUGCGUGAGAGUAACUGUUCACGCAGUGACGGUAUCCAACCAGAAAGUCACGGCUAACUACGUGCCAGCAGCCGCGGUAAUACGUAGGUGGCAAGCGUUAUCCGGAUUUAUUGGGCGUAAAGCGAGCGCAGGCGGUUGCUUAGGUCUGAUGUGAAAGCCUUCGGCUUAACCGAAGAAGUGCAUCGGAAACCGGGCGACUUGAGUGCAGAAGAGGACAGUGGAACUCCAUGUGUAGCGGUGGAAUGCGUAGAUAUAUGGAAGAACACCAGUGGCGAAGGCGGCUGUCUGGUCUGCAACUGACGCUGAGGCUCGAAAGCAUGGGUAGCGAACAGGAUUAGAUACCCUGGUAGUCCAUGCCGUAAACGAUGUGUGCUAGGUGUUGGAGGGUUUCCUCCCUUCAGUGCCGGAGCUAACGCAUCAAGCCUCCGCCUUGGGAGAUUCAACCGCAAGGUUGAAACUCAAAGGAAUUGACGGGGGCCCGCCACAAGCGGUGGAGCAUGUGGUUUUAAUUCGAAGCUACGCGAAGAACCUUUACCAGGUCUGGACAUCUUGCGGUAACCUUAGAGAUAAGGGGUUCCCUUCGGGGACGCAAUGACAGGUGGUGCAUGGUCGUCGUCAGCUCGUGUCGUGAGAUGUUGGGUUAAGUCCCGCAACGAGCGCAACCCUUGUUACUAGUUGCCAGCAUUAAGUUGGGCACUCUAGUGAGACUGCCGGUGACAAACCGGAGGAAGGUGGGGACGACGUCAGAUCAUCAUGCCCCUUAUGACCUGGGCUACACACGUGCUACAAUGGACGGUACAACGAGUCGCAAACUCGCGAGAGUAAGCUAAUCUCUUAAAGCCGUUCUCAGUUCGGACUGUAGGCUGCAACUCGCCUACACGAAGUCGGAAUCGCUAGUAAUCGCGGAUCAGCAUGCCGCAGUGAAUACGUUCCCGGGCCUUGUACACACCGCCCGUCACACCAUGGGAGUUUGUAACGCCCAAAGUCGGUGGCCUAACCUUUAUGGAGGGAGCCGCCUAAGGCGGGACAGA